GGGCCAGGAGGCGCUGAGAUGGCGUCCUCUGCCGCAGCGGCUGCCCCGGAGCUUUCGCCCGGAGCCCGGCCGCUCUGCGCCCUCCUCCUGCACCCGGACCAGGAGCAGCCCCUACGCGGCACCAAGGAAGAGCUCCCUCCGGGAAACAGGAUCCGGGAACACGUGCAGCCUCCUGAGACCUUGGGAUUUAUCGCUCCUCCCCCAACUGCGGCAGAAAAUAUGAGAAAAAUGAGGCAAAGAAAGGAGACUUGCCACAGGACACAUAGCUACAAAGUAGCAGAGCUGGGAUACUGCCUCUUAUUUACUUCUUAUGACACCUCUGUGAGAGAAGUGACAUCACCUUCCUCUUAUGGAUGAGAGCUUGGAAGCCCAAAAGGGGUCCAGUAACCUGCUUAUAGCAUAUGGUGGCAAAAGGGGAGUUAGGUUUGAAGCAUCCACAUUUGCUGUCAUGAAGGCCUUUGCACAUCCCACCAGGCCAGUGGUCCUCAAACGUUAGUUCACAGCAGAAUUACUGCAGGACUUGGUAAAGCACCUCUGGAGUUUCUGGUUCAGUAGCUCUGAGGUGGUUGCCAAGAAUUUGCAUUUUUCUCUAACAAGUUCCAGGAGACACUGUUGCUGCUGAUCUGGAGACCACACUUGGAGAACUACUGCUUUACAAUCAGGCACCUGUAUGCCAAACAGAGGGCAGGGGAAGAGACGGGACCUAAAGGUUAUAGGUCCCACCUCAGCAAAGAGCUACCUACUUCACAGAGCCUAGCAAAGAUCCUUUGCAUUUAUAUGCUCAUUUCAUAGUUAGGACCUCAUUUGAUCUCUCCGAAAGCCCUAGGCAGUGAUCAUUACCUGCAUUCCAUGUGAUCUGUUUGUAGAGACAUGGCUAGAGCAAUGGCAGUGAGAGAGUAAAGCACAGAUCAUCUGACAAGUGUUCUAUCCUUUUCUCCAAGUAUCUGGUCCUGGAAAGCACUAAGCUGAUGGAAACUGAGUCCAGUUCCAAUCUGUGUCUCCCCAGGGAAUAACUGCAAUUCAAGAAAGGGCACUUGGGCCCACCAGGGUUUGGAGAAGGCCAUUACUGGUCAGAAGAGCACAGGACCAGUUUUUUACCAUCAUUUCAAGGAUUAGGAAUGUUGACUGCUCACAAAAGGUUCCACCAACUAUUCGCCCCCUUCUCUAUAACCUAGAAGCUUUACAAUUUGACUAAAAUGUAGUUCUCUGUGAAAGAGGGAAGCAGUUGGGGGGUAAAUUUCUACUGGGCACAGCUUGCUCAUUUAGGACAGCUUGCAUGGCUAGGUAAAUUUUUUUAAGUUCUUUGGACAUAUAAGCCAAAAAAUCAUUAGUACCCAGAAGAUUUCAAGAAUUCCUGGAGUUCCCUUCGUGGCUCAGCGGUUAACGAACCCGACUAGGAUCCACAAAGAUGCGGGUUUGACCCCUGGCCUCAAUCAAUGGGUUAAGGAUCUGGCGUUGCCAUGAGCUGUGGUGUAGGUCGCAGAUGCGGCUCGGAUCCCGAGUGGCUCUGGCUGUGGCUGUGGUGUAGGCCAGUGGCUACAGCUCCGAUUGGACCCCUAGCCUGGGAACCUCCAUAUGCCGCGGGUGCGGCCCUAAAAAGACCAAAAAAAAAAAAA
rnacentral:lncRNA from 1 species